CCGGAUAAGUCUUUACGGAGAAAGCUUUAUGCACCAUUGGAUGAGCCCGCACUUGAUUAGUUUGUUGGUAGGGUAAUGGCCUACCAAGACUAUGAUCAAUAGCUGAUUUGAGAGGAUGAUCAGCCGCAUUGGGACUGAGACACGGCCCAAACUCCUACGGGAGGCAGCAGUGGGGAAUCUUGCACAAUGGAGGAAACUCUGAUGCAGCGAUGCCGCGUGAGUGAAGAAGGCCUUUGGGUUGUAAAGCUCUUUCGUCGGGGAAGAAAAUGACUGUACCCGAAUAAGAAGGUCCGGCUAACUUCGUGCCAGCAGCCGCGGUAAUACGAAGGGACCUAGCGUAGUUCGGAAUUACUGGGCUUAAAGAGUUCGUAGGUGGUUGAAAAAGUUGGUGGUGAAAUCCCAGAGCUUAACUCUGGAACUGCCAUCAAAACUUUUCAGCU
rnacentral:rRNA from 1 species